GAUCGAGUCAGCUUGUGACAGGAGUGACACUCCGUUCGAGCUCUCGGAUCCGAGCGAUGUCAUCAGCUGUGCGACUCUAACAGGGUGAACAGAACAUGUAACAAACAUCAUGAGAUCUACUACAUGGUAGUGGAGACAUUAGAAUAUGUAAAGACUGUUCAAAGAGAAGAUCAUUAAAAAGUCAAGUCAUGGAUGUACUGCUGUAGCCGGACCAGCUGUUCCUCGGUGUCCGUCCGGUACCGCUCACUGUCGGAUCGCGCCAUCGCCAGCUGGCUCUCCGCCUGCACAAAGAACAAACUAACAGUCAGAAUACGAAACAGAAGAGUCUGUAACUUUCAGAACUGCAGAAAGCGAGUAUUGUGAAGUAAAAACUGCUUGGGUGCUUUGGAAAUAAAUGGAUAAAGACAACUGUGGAGUCGAAGUCUUGGUUAAUCUACAUUGUACAGCGAUAUUGUGAACAGCCCCAGACAGAGAUCUUAGACAGGACAGACGUGAACAGCCCCAGACAGAGAUCUUAGACAGGACAGACAGGUGUCUACAUUGUACAGCGAUAUUGUGAACAGCCUCAGAGAGAGAUCCUAGACAGGACAGACAGGUGUUUAGCAAGUGCCGGGUGCAGAAAACCAUACAAGUACAGCAAGACAAUUUAUAUAACAGUUUCAUUCAAGCUCUAGUGCUUAUCUCAUGCAGUUCACAUGUUGAUUUUCAUAAAGUAAAACUGCUUA